rnacentral:rRNA from 1 species
UACGUAGGGUGCGAGCGUUGUCCGGAAUUAUUGGGCGUAAAGGGCUCGUAGGCGGUCUGUCGCGUCGGGAGUGAAAACACGGGGCUUAACCCCGUGCCUGCAGUCGAUACGGGCAGACUAGAGUGCGGUAGGGGAGACUGGAAUUCCUGGUGUAGCGGUGAAAUGCGCAGAUAUCAGGAGGAACACCGGUGGCGAAGGCGGGUCUCUGGGCCGUAACUGACGCUGAGGAGCGAAAGCGUGGGGAGCGAACAGG